GCAUAUCAAUAAGCGGAGGAAAAGAAACCAACAGGGAUUGCCCUAGUAACGGCGAGUGAAGCGGCAACAGCUCAAAUUUGAAAUCUGGCUUUCGGGCCCGAGUUGUAAUUUGUAGAGGAUGAUUUUGAUGCGGUGCCUUCCGAGUUCCCUGGAACGGGACGCCAUAGAGGGUGAGAGCCCCGUCUGGUUGGAUGCCAAAUCUCUGUAAAUCUCCUUCGACGAGUCGAGUAGUUUGGGAAUGCUGCUCUAAAUGGGAGGUAUAUGUCUUCUAAAGCUAAAUACCGGCCAGAGACCGAUAGCGCACAAGUAGAGUGAUCGAAAGAUGAAAAGCACUUUGAAAAGAGAGUUAAAAAGUACGUGAAAUUGUUGAAAGGGAAGCGUUUAUGACCAGACUUGGGCUUGGUUAAUCAUCUGGGGUUCUCUCCAGUGCACUUUUCCAGUCCAGGCCAGCAUCAGUUUUCGCCGGGGGAUAAAGGCUUCGGGAAUGUGGCUCCCCUCGGGGAGUGUUAUAGCCCGUUGUGUAAUACCCUGGUGGGGACUGAGGUUCGCGCUUCUGCAAGGAUGCUGGCGUAAUGGUCAUCAACGACCCGUCUUGAAACACGGACC
rnacentral:rRNA from 1 species